rnacentral:rRNA from 1 species
AGUGAACGCUGGCGGUAGGCCUAACACAUGCAAGUCGAACGGCAGCACAGUAAGAGCUUGCUCUUACGGGUGGCGAGUGGCGGACGGGUGAGGAAUACAUCGGAAUCUACUUUUUCGUGGGGGAUAACGUAGGGAAACUUACGCUAAUACCGCAUACGACCUACGGGUGAAAGCAGGGGAUCUUCGGACCUUGCGCGAUUGAAUGAGCCGAUGUCGGAUUAGCUAGUUGGCGGGGUAAAGGCCCACCAAGGCGACGAUCCGUAGCUGGUCUGAGAGGAUGAUCAGCCACACUGGAACUGAGACACGGUCCAGACUCCUACGGGAGGCAGCAGUGGGGAAUAUUGGGCAAUGGGCGCAAGCCUGAUCCAGCCAUACCGCGUGGGUGAAGAAGGACUUCGGGUUGUAAAGCCCUUUUGUUGGGAAAGAAAAGCAGCAGGUUAAUACCCCGCUGUUCUGACGGUACCCAAAGAAUAAGCACCGGCUAACUUCGUG